UCCCCCUGUGCCUCUGCAUUGUUAACCAAGUAGCUGCACAGCCAAAAGGCCAGAGACUGGGGUGGGGAUGUAUUGUUGGAGGCGCCUGCGCGGCCAAGCCAUCAGCUGGUGGGCCUGCCCAGGGGGGUCCUUCUCACCCUGUCCUGGUGGCUGGUGGAAAGCUGGUGGAGCAAGCUGGAGCAAGCAGUUCCUGGUCAGCCUGCAACCGCUUGGCCCCACUUGGCCCCUCCGGCUCUGUUCGGCCAACGGUCAGCUGGUGGGCCUGCCCAGGAGGGUCCUCCUCACCCUGUCCUGGAAGUGUUCAACAACUGAGGUUUGGAAAGCAAAUCUAAAAAUGAUCACUAGACUAAGAAGACUGCCAAUGAUUUGGAUGUGGAUCUUCAUGGUCAACCAGGACCUAAGAAUGAGGGGACCUUUUCUAUAAGAUUCUACAACUGUGAAUGUUAACAUACAGGAACCAAAUUUCAAUCUAAGGCUUGAGGUAAGAUUUUUAAGAUUUGAGUGUUCUCUCACUUUAUAUAACCCCAUGCCACUGGAUAUAGAAAAAUACUGCUAUGCCCCUGGGAUUUUCCACCUAAUGUUAUUUCUUCUAUUACCUGAGUCAAUGCCUUGGUUGGCUAAUGCACUGCUCCAUUCUGUGGGCUAGUACUUUCCCAAUCUGGAAAAUGAGAAGGUGCACCCAUGCUUUAUGCUUCAAACAAAUUUCCAAAAGUUUGGUUUUUCUGAGGGCCUGCAGCUUUUGCCCUCCUAGUAUCUACUUCUGUAUUUAUUGAGGUGUUUGUUUCCUCUCUUCUCUCUGCAGGCUUUACAGUGCCAGGUGACUUUCCCAAGGUGACCCUUGUGAUGAGAUGAAGGCUUCAGCUCUAAUAUUUGUCCUCAUUCCAGCAGUAGGAAGGACAUGUCCAGAAGAUUUACACUUGUUUUUGUUAACAUUGCAUUGACCAGGGCUCAGACCUGCUUCUGUAUUGCUAGGAGAUAUGGUGAGCAAUGUACCUUCAGUUCUGGGACACUGUGCUCUGCCUAUGUAUUAUGGGGAAACCUAUGAAUUUGUAAGAAGGGAAAACAUCUUGAGAGAAAAGUAGCCAUUUUGCCACCCACAGGAUUCUUCUGACUUUCACUUCUUUGAAACAAUCUGGUUUUUCCCAGUGUUAAAUAUAGAAGGGCUGAAGGGAGGGCAGGGGAAUGGGGAAAAAAAAAUAAGAACCAAGAUGUAUCAUGUAGAGGUUUCCAAUGAUGAAUGUCAUCAUAUUGUAUAACUAAAAUGUACCAAUAAACUUAAUGAAUAAAAAAAUAUGUUUACUCUGAAGUCUGCAGGAGUGUGACUCCUGAAAAUAUGUUGAUACAAUGGUUUGUCAUUUAAAUUUUAUCAUAUUAUAAAAUUUGGCUGAAAUCAGAAAUAGGAUCAAAAUAUUAUCAGUAUUAAAAAACACACAAAACCUUAAAUUUCUACAUAAAAUUUUUUAUAUCUCACCAAUAAAUGGAAAAUCCAUUAUCAUUUCCCAUAAAUAAGAAAUCACAAUAUACAUGUAUACCUAUAAAUAAUUCUAGACCUCUGACUUCUCCAUAUGCCAAUUUUCCUGUUUAGAGAAAAGCAAGUCUAAAAGUUCUUGUUUUAUGUAGAUUUAUUUAAUUCUCCCCUUUUCUUUCCUUUCUUCCUUUUAUUUCCUUAUUUUUAUGUUACCCAGAAGUUUUAAAUUU
rnacentral:lncRNA from 1 species